CGGGCGUGCUAUACUGCAAGUCGAACGCGUUGGCCCAAUUGAUUGAUGGUGCUUGCACCUGAUUGAUUUUGGUCGCCAACGAGUGGCGGACGGGUGAGUAACACGUAGGUAACCUGCCCAGAAGCGGGGGACAACAUUUGGAAACAGAUGCUAAUACCGCAUAACAACGUUGUUCGCAUGAACAACGCUUAAAAGAUGGCUUCUCGCUAUCACUUCUGGAUGGACCUGCGGUGCAUUAGCUUGUUGGUGGGGUAACGGCCUACCAAGGCGAUGAUGCAUAGCCGAGUUGAGAGACUGAUCGGCCACAAUGGGACUGAGACACGGCCCAUACUCCUACGGGAGGCAGCAGUAGGGAAUCUUCCACAAUGGGCGCAAGCCUGAUGGAGCAACACCGCGUGAGUGAAGAAGGGUUUCGGCUCGUAAAGCUCUGUUGUUAAAGAAGAACACGUAUGAGAGUAACUGUUCAUACGUUGACGGUAUUUAACCAGAAAGUCACGGCUAACUACGUGCCAGCAGCCGCGGUAAUACGUAGGUGGCAAGCGUUAUCCGGAUUUAUUGGGCGUAAAGAGAGUGCAGGCGGUUUUCUAAGUCUGAUGUGAAAGCCUUCGGCUUAACCGGAGAAGUGCAUCGGAAACUGGAUAACUUGAGUGCAGAAGAGGGUAGUGGAACUCCAUGUGUAGCGGUGGAAUGCGUAGAUAUAUGGAAGAACACCAGUGGCGAAGGCGGCUACCUGGUCUGCAACUGACGCUGAGACUCGAAAGCAUGGGUAGCGAACAGGAUUAGAUACCCUGGUAGUCCAUGCCGUAAACGAUGAGUGCUAGGUGUUGGAGGGUUUCCGCCCUUCAGUGCCGGAGCUAACGCAUUAAGCACUCCGCCUGGGGGAGUACGACCGCAAGGUUGAAACUCAAAGGAAUUGACGGGGGCCCGCACAAGCGGUGGAGCAUGUGGUUUAAUUCGAAGCUACGCGAAGAACCUUACCAGGUCUUGACAUCUUGCGCCAACCCUAGAGAUAG
rnacentral:rRNA from 1 species